rnacentral:lncRNA from 1 species
AAUUUUUUGCACUUGGUUGUAUAUACCUAAACUCGAACAUGAUUAUAAUGUACAAUUAGUAACAAUUACACAAUCAAGCUAUACAGCUGGCUAAACAACUAUCUUUUUGUACACAUAUACGAAAAUAAAUUAUACAAUAUUCUUCAUCAUCAAAAUACAAAGAUUAGAUACUUGAGCUUCAUAAUCUGCAAAGUUCUACUAUUCUCAACCCUUCAAAAAGGAACGAAAAUGUUUUCCAUUGACCAAAUUUCAAUUAUUUCAUAUUUUUUCCUUUUUUUACCAUUACUAGUGUAUGGAGUUCGAUUCGAAGUAGACGGAAUUCAAAUUUGCGUCAAGUGUCGAUUCUUCGUCAACACCACCUCUUCAGUUUUAAUUAAAUCGGUAGCAUUUGAGGGAACCUCUAAGACAUCUCCUUUAAGAUGGUGUUGACGUGCCCUUUAGGGCACUCCUCCAAUGGCAUCAUAUUUUGUCAAUCUAUUCAAAAAUCAAUAACAAGAGAAUACCAAAGGUCAAAUGAUAAUACGUAAUACAUUUUUUUUGUAACACAUGUAGAAGAGCUGUUGAAACAAGUUUGACAUUGUAUCAUAACUUUCGAGAAACAAUAACCAACAGUUGAGAAUUUCGGAUCAUAAUUGUCAAGGACUCAAGAAUGAAAGUUUAUCUCGACAGAUGAGUUCCAUAAGAACUACAAAUGAAUUAUACAGUAACAUGAAUCAAAUGUUUGACUCCUCAAAUUGAACCAUAUUAUAUCAAAUUUAAAAACAUGUCAACUCACAAAAUUCUGCCCGCAUUUAAAUUAAACUAAAAAAUUUCAUCCGAACGACACGUGAACUGAUCAUAAAUCGAUUCAACAUUUCAUUGUCGGUAAAAGAUAAAAAUGAUCCCAACAUAUGCAUUCAAAUUAUUGUACUUACAGACCGACUAAUCAAGUAUUUGAGAAUACAUAAUCACAGAACAAAUAUAACUCCUUAUUCAUCCAAAAUUGAAUCAAGGACUCGAUGAAAAAAUAUCAAAAAACAUAGAUAAAUAAACAAGCUUACAAAUAAAUAUAGCUAAGUUGAUUCAGAAAUUAUAAAAUGAGACUAACUUGAUGCAAACUCGCCCCCAUUAUUUCUCAUUAAAUUAAAUUAAAUUAAAUUUUUCUCUCUCCUAUUUUUAACCACACAAUUUUCAAUAAAAUAAUAUUACACGUAAAUCAAAAACUUUUCUUUUCUUUUCAACCACUUAUUUUUCAAAAAAAUACUAUUGAAAACAUUAUAAUCUUGAAAUAAUGGGGCUCAAACGGGGGCAUAAUCACAUAACAAAUAUAACUCCUUAUUCAUCCAAAAUUGAAUCAAGGAUCCGAUGAAAAAAUAUCAAAAUACAUAGAUAAAUAAACAAGCUUACAAAUAAAUAUAGCUAAGUUGAUUCAGAAAUUAUAAAAUGAGACUAACUUGAUGCAAACUCAAAAUUAUAUUCAUAACAUAAUACAACAAGAAUUUAGUUUAACAAUCACCCCCCAAAACAAUAACAUAUUUGGAAAGAAAUUCUCUGUAAAACUUCAAAAUCAAGUAAAAUUGUCAAAAUCAUACAACUAACACUAAACAAGAGUGUACUAAGAUUUCUUACAUUCUUACUUCCAAGUGCAGCAUAAAUGUAAUUCACUAAGCAAAAGUGCACUACAUUUUUCAUCUAUUUUCACUUUUUCCUAAGCAAAAAAAUUAAGCAAUCGUAGUUAUAAAUCUAAAUGAACAAAUCUAGUUCAAAAAAGAAUGCCAAAUAAAAAGGAAUAAAAUAAAGGAAUAAAUCUAAAUUUUUCUUAAACCAAAAAAAUCGAACAAAGUAAAAAUUUUACCCAACAUUAUAUGGACAAUGCUUGAAAAUCUCAAUGUUUGUAGAAAUUUGAACAUUGUUACUUAUUAAAUAGAAACCCUAUAUAUGAAAUUUUUUCCCUCAACUUCAAAUAAAGCACAAAUUAUUCAAAAUAUUUGAAUCUAAAAAAAGUGAAAAUGGUAUUUACCUCGAUUUGAAGUUGGAACCAAAUACAUAUAGUCGGAUAUUGAACUUGAACUGUACUCCAAGUAGGUGUAGGUUGUCGAUUGUAAGAUGGGCAAGUGGUUAUUGUGGAGUGGAAAUUUUUCAAGUUCAUUAUUUUGUGUGAACUGAGUUUAGAAAGUGGGUUUGCAAAAAGGAGAU